UGUUUCUGGCUUGCAGAUGUCUGCCUUCCCACGGUGCCCUCGCAUGUAUUGGAGGUGUUUCCAUUUUGAAACCACAUCUCUUAACUAAACGAGUUGAUUAGAGAAAUGAGCAAAUUAACAAGGUCAAAAGAAGGUCUUGCCCUGAAGGCACAGACUUGAAGUGUUCAGCUGAUGGAGAGCUGAAUGCCAUGACAACCAGGUGCCAAGGAACUUCAGAAUCUCCAAAUGGAAGUCUCCAAAGCCCCUGAUUCACCAGAAAGAGAGAAAACCAUCCACUGGCCACCACACUGUUAUAUGAGCAGAACACAAACUCCUGUUGUGUUUGAGCCUGUAAACAUUCUGGGCAGCAGAUUAUCCUCUUUAACAUACAAAAUGAUGCCUCAAA
rnacentral:lncRNA from 1 species